rnacentral:misc_RNA from 1 species
UUGGAUCGUCGUUUACGAAUAUCCCGCCUCACCCACCAGACGCGAAAAUGGGUCCGCUCUCUAAGAAGCGCAUGAUCAUUCGCGAUGGCGUCUUCUACGCCGAGCUGUUUGAGUUUCUCAAGCGCGAGCUGGCCGAAGAGGGCUUCUCCGGUGUCUCUUACCAUGUCACGACGCUCCGCACGGAGAUCGUGAUCAAGGCGACGAAGACCCGUGAGGUGCUCGGCGUGAACGGCCGCCGCAUCCGCGAGCUGACAGCCUGCAUUCAGCAGCGCUUCAACUACAAGGAGGGCAAGCUCCAGCUGUACGUUGAGCGCGUUGAGGUGCGCGGCCUGUCUGCGAUGGCGCAGGUGGAGUCCCUUCGCUUCAAGCUCCUGAGCAACCUGCAGGUGCGCCGCGCCGCCAUGGGCAUCAUCCGCUACGUCAUGGAGUCUGGUGCCAAGGGCUGCGAGGUCACCGUCGGUGGAAAGAUCAAGGGCCAGCGUGCGAAGAGCAUGACCUUCCGCGACGGCUACAUGAUCAAGUCCGGUACGGCUCACAAGUCGUUCGUCGACUCCGCCUGCCGCCACUGCUACAUGCGCGCCGGCUGCAUCGGUGUCAAGGUCAAGAUCAUGCUGCCCGGUGACUCGACUGGCCGCAACGGCCCGUCGGAGCCGCUGCCGGACGUCAUCACCGUCAUUGAGCCGAAGCAGAUCACCGCGUCCGAGUAACGAGCGAGUUGCCUCUGCGCUGGUGAACGUGCCUGCGCACUUACGUAUCAGCCGUGCUUUCUGGGAAGACCUUCUGCGACGCGGGGCGUUGCGCCGGUACAGAUGCAUCUUUUGCAUGGUGCGUGCUCACCACAGUUUGUGUGUGUGUGUGUGUUUGCGCGCACCUCCCAUCCAACAAUGGCGCGAACGGCUUUCUGUGCAUGCGCCCUUUCAUUUUAACUUUCUUUUUUUCGCCCUUGUUUUUGUGAUUUUCGAUGAGCUC